UCCAUUCUAGCCACUGUCUUGAAAUCUACUUGUCUCUCCUCUCUCUCUUCGAAUUCCUGCAAAACAAAGUUAUAAGCAAACCAUAUUGUCAGGUAACAAGAUCACAAUUACAAUGCAAAUCAUUUCUUAUUAUUAUAAAUAUUUAUAACUCAUACAAGUUCAUUUAGUUUCAAUAAGAAGAAAUGAAGUUGGACAGACUAUAUGUGUGGAAGUAAAGAAUUAUGUGAACUACUCAGAUGUUCAAUUUGCUAGUGGCAAAGUUCUACUGAUCUGCAACCUACAGAAGUGAAUAUCGAGCAGAAAAAAGUUGCAGCACACAUAUAAAGACUCAAACUUUCAACAUUAAACAUGUCAUACUGCAUUGUGAUAUAGCCUCGAACUAGAUCCUCUGGACUGAGAUUAUAUUAGCCCUUAAAUGAAUUAUCUACUCUCCGCCAUCAAGAAAAAUAUGUCUCAACUUGGCAAGCAAUAUCACAAUAAGAAAAAAGAAUGGCAUUUGUUUGACGAAUUAUAGACUACGAUUACCCUCUUCAUAGUUCAUAACAACAUGUAUACACCAAUUUAAAAAUAAUAAUGGUUUUUUUUUGUCAAAAAAAUAAUAAAAUAAUGGUUCAAAAAGAGACAAAAAUGACGCUCUGUCAUGCUAAAUAGAUCUUCUCUAUAUCACUCGAUAUCUAUUCUGCCACGCUAAACACAUAUGAUAGUGACCCUCAGAAACAGCAACCAUUGAUCGUUUGCCUGAAGGACAGAGUAAGUAGACAAUUAUUGCAUUCUAAAAUUUACACAGGAGCUCCCCAAAGUAUCCAAAACAUUAUCAUGUGAUAAUUGCCAGGAAAGAAAAUGUUAAUCUGAUAAAGGUGAGCAACAGAUUAGACAUUAUUCAUGUAAUUUAUAUAUAUCUCAAUUGAAAAAACAGUAGAGAAACAUGUGAGCUUACCAUUAAGAUGACGGAACUGUCAUAUGAAUUGAUAUGAAGUACACCACAGUGUGCAAAUGAAUAUCCCAAUUACAUGUGUACAACUUUGAAGUCAAGGAACAGCUAGGGAAAAUAUAAGAUAUUGUUUCAUGCUCUGUGAGACUGUGACUCGAAACUGAGGUAAUAGAACCUAGAAAAAAUACCUACUGCGAUACAGAAACACAACAAUUAUUGUGUUUGUUUCUACCGUGUUUCUAAUUAGUCUUCACAAUACAUACUGCGAUACAUAAGCACAUAAGAUUGAUGUCUCAGCCAAAUUAAUUUACAAAUUAAUGAAAUGUACCAAAAGCUAAAGUUUUGAUGAAUGGGAGAGAAAAACAGAACUAUAAAGCACACGAAUAACAAAAAAUACUGUACCUUCUCCAUUUUUAUGCAUUCCUCUUUUUCUUGUCUUUUGAUGGUCUGCUGCAGCGCCUCAUCCUCAGUGAGCUGUAAGAGACUCUCGGUGUAUGGAAAUGAACAAUAUUGAAGAGGAAUCCCCUGAAUCCCAAUAUUCUUGACUGUCUUACGGUCAAUGUUAUACCAGGCAAGCUGUGUGUGAAAGCCACGCACCUGUAAUGUUGUGUUUGGUUGGGGUGAAUGGAAUGGAAUGGAAUAGAAUAGAAUGAGUAAAAAUAAAAGAAAAUAAU
rnacentral:lncRNA from 1 species